rnacentral:rRNA from 1 species
GUCGAGAAUCUUUCACAAUGGGGGCAACCCUGAUGGAGCGACGCCGCGUGGAGGAUAAGGUCUUCGGAUUGUAAACUCCUGUCAUGCGUGAACAAGGUUGCUUGGUUAAUACCUGGGCAAAUUGAUGGUAACGCAAGAGGAAGAGACGGCUAACUCUGUGCCAGCAGCCGCGGUAAUACAGAGGUCUCAAGCGUUGUUCGGAAUCACUGGGCGUAAAGGGUGCGUAGGUGGCGUGGUAAGUCAGAUGUGAAAGCCCGGGGCUCAACCUCGGGACUGCAUCCGAUACUGCCAUGCUAGAGUACUGGAGAGGUGACUAGAAUUCUCGGUGUAGCAGUGAAAUGCGUAGAUAUCGAGAGGAAUACCAAAGGCGUAGGCAGGUCACUGGACAGUUACUGACACUGAGGCACGAAGGCCAGGGGAGCGAACGGGAUUAGAUACCCGUGUAGUCC